GGGGUCAGGGCCCUAGGGAAGGUAGCACCUGAGCAGAAAUCCCCUAUGACACGAGGAAACUGACCACAGGAAGACCUGGGGGAACAACAUCCUAGCAAACCAAACUGUAUGCCUCAUGAUGGAGCAUAAACAACAUUAAAAUUUUAUUUGGAUAAAUCUCCUGUUUUACAUAGAAAAGAUGAAGUUUUCCCAUGUCAUAGCAGCAGAGUGGAGGUAAAAGAGCACCGUCCAUGGAAUCAAAUAAACCUGGAUUUAACCACUAGCUAUGUGACCUUCAUCAAGCCGCUCGCCUUCUCUGAGCCUUCGUCUCCCGGCUCUUCUUCAGGUGGGAGUGGAGGUUAAGUGAUAAGGAACUGUUUCUAAGUCAGACUUUCAGCUGGAAGGAAUUCAACUCAUG